GUGCUCGCUUCGGCAGCACAUAUACUAAAAUUGGAACGAUACAGAGAAGAUUAGAAUGGCCCCUGUGCAAGGAUGACAUGCAAAUUCAUGAAGCAUUCAUAUUUUUA